rnacentral:rRNA from 1 species
GACGAACGCUGGCGGCGUGCCUAAUACAUGCAAGUCGAACGCAGUGGGGACGGGUGAGUAACACGUGGGUAACCUCCCAUCACAGGGGAUAACACUUGGAAACAGGUGCUAAACCGAUACUGAUGGAUGGACCCGCGGUGUAUUAGCCAGUUGGGGAGGUAACGGCUCACCAAGGACACGAUGCAUAGCCGACCUAGGAGGUUGAUCGGCCGGACUGGGACUGGGACACGGACCAGACUCCUACGGGAAGCAGCGGUCGGGAUUCUACGGCAAUGGACGAAAGUCUGACAGAGCGACGCGUCGUGAAUGAAGAAGGUUUACGGAUCGUAAAACUAUGUUGUUAGAGAAGCGGUAUCAAACCAGAAAGCCACGGCUAACUACGUGCCAGCCGCGGUAAUUC